rnacentral:rRNA from 1 species
AUUGAACGCUGGCGGCAUGCUUUACACAUGCAAGUCGGACGAGUGGCGAACGGGUCAGUAACGCAUCGGCACGUACCGAGUAAUGGGGGAUAACUGACCGAAAGGACAGCUAAUACCGCCUAUUAUUCGAACGGCCAAUGCCUGAGUAGGUGGUUGGCGGGGUCAAGGCCCACCAAGGCGACGCUCAGUAGCGGGUCUGAGAGGAGGAUCCGCCCCACUGGGACUGAGACACGGACCAGACUCCUACGGGAGGCAGCAGUGGGGAAUUUUGGACAAUGGGCGCAAGCCUGAUCCAGCCAUGCCGCGUGUCUGAAGAAGGCCUUCGGGUUGUAAAGGAAUUUUGUCAGGGAAGCGGUACCUGAAGAAUAAGCACCGGCUAACUACGUGCCAGCCGCCGCGGUAAUAC